rnacentral:rRNA from 1 species
GACGUAGGGUGCAAGCGUUGUCCGGAUUUACUGGGCGUAAAGAGCGCGUAGGCGGUCUGUUAAGUGUAGAGUGAAAUCUCCAGGGCUCAACCCGGAAACUGCUCUGCAUACUGGCAGACUGGAGGGACUGAGAGGUGAAUGGAAUUCCUGGUGUAGCGGUGAAAUGCGUAGAUAUCAGGAGGAACACCGGUGGCGAAGGCGGGUCUCUGGGCCGAUACUGACGCUGAGGAGCGAAAGCGUGGGGAGCGAACAGG